AUUGAACGCUAGCGGCAUGCUUUACACAUGCAAGUCGAACGAGUGGCGGACGGGUGAGUAAUAUAUCGGAACGUGCCCCUUAGCGGGGGCUAACUACUCGAAACCGGGCUAAUACCGCCUACUAUUGGAGCGGCCGAUAUCGGAUUAGCUAGUUGGUGGGGUAAAGGCUCACCUAGGCCACGAUCCGUAGCUGGUGUGAGAGGACGACCAGCCACACUGGAACUGAGACACGGCCCAGACUCCUACGGGAGGCAGCAGUGGGGAAUUUUGGACAAUGGGGGAAAGCCUGAUCCAGCCAUGCCGCGUGUAUGAUGAAGGCCUUCGGGUUGUAAAGUACUUUUGGCAGGGAAGCGGUAUUCGCAGAAGAAGCACCGGCUAACUACGUGCCAGCAGCCGCGGUAAUAC
rnacentral:rRNA from 1 species